UCUUAUACAGGCUGCCAUUUCUUGCAGUUAGCACGUUGCUAAAUUCUUUUUUAGGUUAUAUUCACUAAGUCCUGCAUUUAGAUAAAACUUUAGGUUUUUAGACUCACAAAGGUAAACCUCCUCUGUGUGGAAGCCAGCUUCCUUUCUCACCUUCCUUAUUAAUAAAUGAUUUAAACAUCCACCUUUCACGCUUUCUAAAUGAAUUCCCAAACAACUGACCAAUUUGCAGCAAAUGCUCAAAGGCAAUUAGUAUUCUAGGGUGCAUCCCUCUGCCACUCUUGCUCAAGUUGUUCAAAUAUUUAGAGUGUCAGACAGAAAAUGAAAAUGAUUCUGUAGUUUGAAAAUCCACCAGGGACACCCAGGCCUUAUUCUCAGCUCUCAUAGAAAGAGGAGCAGCUUUGUCUGAUUAACAACUAUUCUGGAAUAUAAAUCAGACAGGAUGUGAAUUAAAUUUUAGGAGAUCCAGAUCCUAAAUGAUGAAGAAGAUAAGGUGCUUUGCUCAUCUUCAGUGUUUUUUUAACUACAAAAUUCUUCUUUCUCCAUCUUCUUUAAGAUGUAAUUGAACUUAUUCCCAUUUCCAAAUGUUAUUUAUUAAUGAGUUUUUCUAUGGACAUGAUUUUCCUUUUUUCUGUUUUUUAUUUUCUUUUUCAUUUGUCAUUUGUGCUGUGCAGAGUCCAGAGUAAGCCUUAAUGAGCCAUAUGAGUCUCUUCCAACUUGGGAUAUUCUGUAAUUCUGAGGUUGUCUUUCAGGUUGUUUUAAAGAAUGGUGAAAUGAAAGAAAAAAUGUCGAAGUUGCACUUUCUCUUAUGCAAAUUUACUGUAACAUUUGCUGUCUUCUGAGUCUUUCUUAAUGUGUUUUUAUGAGAAAUUGAUAAUCACAGCUUGAAUAUCUGAUUAAUCAGCUGAGGCAAGUGUAGGGUCAGCUGUGGGAGCACAGGUGAGAGUAAUUUAGCUGUGCUCCCAGAAAGGGUCGAGCUUGACGCCAUCUCCUCUAGACCUCAUUUAAGGGCUGACCACCACUAAGGCAGCAUUUCUUAGAGACUGCUCCUCGGUGGAGAUUGUCUCAGAUCACCACCAUCUUUUCAUUAUUGUCACCAUACAGUGUUAUUCAAGUGUGUGUGUGUGACCAUUUCUUGACCACAAUUUUGCUACUACCUUACAGGAUAACACAAGCCUUUCUGAAAGCAUAUGCAUUCUUUGCCAACUAAUAGCAAUCACCAAAGAAUUUGCAUAUAAGUGAGGUUGUUUUUAAUAUUUGAGUUAAUGUCCUAUUCAAUUAUUACUAUUUAAGGCCUUUGAGUCUGAAACUAUUCAUGUUUCCUCUGUGUUCUCCAGUCAAUUCCUCCGUAAUCUCCAUAGCAGUGAGCUGUCAGGGCCAUACAACCUGUUACUUUAUGAAAGUUUUCAUAUACUAAUGUAGGAAAAGAGAUGGAGACAAUAAUCAUUAGUUAUGUUUAAAAUGAUUUUGUGGUGAUGUUGUUUUAUUUUGUUGUUGUUGUUUUUUUACAAGCAAAACUGACAGUGUUUGAGGGAAGAAGUGAGAGGCUUGAGAUGGUGUAGCAUGGCUAAAAGCUGCCCUGCUCAGAGAGGAAGUGUCUCAUCAUCCCAGGAAGAAACAUCCUCAAUGGAUUCACAGCCAUCUGGAACCUGGUGAGCACAGUUAGAGUUUUUGCAGAAAAAGGACGGAGUUUGGGCAGCUGUGGUUCAAUGUUUUCUGAUUUUUAGUAUAAAGUGAUUGUUGGAUUUUAAUUAAAACAAAACAACAAAAAAAAAACCUCCACAUAUUCUUUCUGAUAGAAGUAAAGUAAACUUCAAAAAGAAGGAAAAUUUGGCACAGAAAUGAUGAAAAUUUGAUUGCUAACCUAAGUAACAAAUAAUGGGUAUCUAUUUUUUUUGUUUGUUUCCAAGUCUAUGAAUCAGAGCUAGGAGUAUAUUGCAGCCUUUUUUUCUUUUUUUUUUUUAACUUAUGUAGUAUUUUUUAUUUUUCUCUUGAUUAACUAUUUGGUGAUCUUACCACAUUCUCUUGGGGUCUCCACCAUUGUAAAUUGUUCCUACUGCCCAGUUUUCCUGACUUAUAACCAGAUCUCAUUUCUGUCAAGGCUUUUUCUGUGUGCUGCUUCUGAUUAUGCCUAUGAUUUUAUAAUUUGUGCUUAUUUUAUGCAGUUUUGACUUCACAGAUUCCCAUUUAUCCCCAUCUAUUAAUGCUGCAUGGACUAUAUUAAUAUCAAGUUCUGUUGGCUUUUGUUUGUUGUUGUUGUUUUUAAGGAAUGUAAUAUACAAAAUUCCUCAGCAGAUAUAUCAGAAGUUAGAGUGACGAACAAAAUUUGUAGAUGUUGUUAAGUAUACAAAAAUACCUGCAGUCCCUUCAACACACAGCACAGCACAUCUGAGAAUGCCUAGAAGAUGUUACUUGACUGAUUUUAAUGAAAUCUAAGGAGAAGAUUUUGGCAACCAAGUUAUACAUCACAGUUGUUUCUGGAACAAGUUAGAUGCUAUUCCAGAGACAGAUCCCUAAAAAAACAUAAUAUGUAUAAUAAAAGUUCACACAGAAACAAAGGUUUAAAUUAUUUAGAUGUUGCUUUCAGUGAGUCCCUGUGAAUUAGGUGGAACAGUCCCGUGUUCCAAUUUUUAGUAAUUUUUUUUUCUUUUUCUUUUUCUUUUUUUUUUUUUUUUUUGCAUUGUUACCCCACUGAAGACAAUGCAUUGACAAUCACCAAAGGUUGAUUGAAAGCUUGAACUUAAUUAUAUAAGAAUACAAUUUUUAAUCUGAUUAAGUUAAUGAGGGACUCUGACAUACCUAUGUAUUCGUUCCAUAUGAAGCUUCGGUAACAUUUAGCACUGAUUUACCUGGUGAUGUCACUUACCUGCAUGAGCUUUCCUUUAGAUUCACCUUCUAUUUAUUCUGCAGGACUCUACUACAGCAGAUCAAUUGCACAGUGCCAGCCUAAAGGCCUCUUUCCAUCUCCAGAGUGGUAUAAACCAUGAAGGAUAUUUAAGUCAAGUUGGCCCCAUUCACAGUAGUUCAACUUGCUUUACUCUGUGAGUCAGAUGGUGCUCCAAACAGGAGUGUAAACUAGUUGACAGAUACCGAAAAGGAAAAUGAAGUGUAUUCCAUAAACACUGUAUGACCUAACUUGCAAUGAAUUAUUCCAGUGUAACUAUACAGCCACUCAACAAGUGUCUGAAACACAGCAGCAACUUCUCUUUUUAUUACAUGUUUAUUUAUAGGUUUGUUAUAAAUAUGUAGGUUGUGGGGACAUCAGAUUGCUUUGUCAUAUCAUUGUGGAUUCAUUGGAAGACACUGAACGGAAGACCUUUGUAUGCGGACAGUUCGUUUUUUUUGUUUUGAUUGCUGUGUUAUUUUUGUUGUUGGUUUGUUGCUUGCUUGUUUGGCAUACUCUAAUUUCCUAAUUUUCUGCAAAGGUGAACUAGUGAAAAAAUAGAAAAAUACAGGAGCUAAGACAUCUCAUAUGUUCCUUUUUGCUAAAAAUAAACUACACAAAAGUGAAAUUCA